UACGUAGGGGGCAAGCGUUAUCCGGAUUUACUGGGUGUAAAGGGGGCGCAGACGGCGAUGCAAGCCAGGAGUGAAAGCCCGGGGCCCAACCCCGGGACUGCUCUUGGAACUGCGUGGCUGGGGUGCAGGAGGGGCAGGCGGAAUUCCUGGUGUAGCGGUGAAAUGCGUAGAUAUGAGGAGGAACACCGGUGGCGAAGGCAGCUUACCAAUCUAUAUCUGACGUUGAGGCACGAAAGCGUGGGGAGCAAACAGG
rnacentral:rRNA from 1 species